AAAAAAUUAGUUAAAUAAUAACAUUAGAAUGUCAAUCUAAAAUUAUAUAAAAUAUAUUUUUUA
rnacentral:tRNA from 1 species